rnacentral:rRNA from 1 species
AACUAGCAUAUCAAUAAGCGGAGGAAAAGAAACCAACAGGGAUUGCCCUAGUAACGGCGAGUGAAGCGGCAACAGCUCAAAUUUGAAAUCUGGCUCUUUUAGAGUCCGAGUUGUAAUUUGCAGAGGGCGCUUUGGCUUUGGCAGCGGUCCAAGUUCCUUGGAACAGGACGUCACAGAGGGUGAGAAUCCCGUACGUGGUCGCUGGCUAUUGCCGUGUAAAGCCCCUUCGACGAGUCGAGUUGUUUGGGAAUGCAGCUCUAAAUGGGAGGUACAUUUCUUCUAAAGCUAAAUAUUGGCCAGAGACCGAUAGCGCACAAGUAGAGUGAUCGAAAGAUGAAAAGCACUUUGGAAAGAGAGUCAAACAGCACGUGAAAUUGUUGAAAGGGAAGCGCUUGCAGCCAGACUUGCUUACAGUUGCUCAUCCGGGUUUCUACCCGGUGCACUCUUCUGUAGGCAGGCCAGCAUCAGUUUGGGCGGUAGGAUAAAGGUCUCUGUCACGUACCUCCUUUCGGGGAGGCCUUAUAGGGGAGACGACAUACUACCAGCCUGGACUGAGGUCCGCGCAUCUGCUAGGAUGCUGGCGUAAUGGCUGUAAGCGGCCCGUCUUGAAACACGGACCAAGGAGUCUAACAUCUAUGCGAGUGUUUGGGUGUCAAGCCCGAGCGCGUAAUGAAAGUGAACGGAGGUGGGAACCCGCAAGGGUGCACCAUCGACCGAUCCUGAUGUCUUCGGAAGGAUUUGAGUAAGAGCAUGGCUGUUGGGACCCGAAAGAUGGUGAACUAUGCUUGAAUAGGGUGAAGCCAGAGGAAACUCUGGUGGAGGCUCGCAGCGGUUCUGACGUGCAAAUCGAUCGUCAAAUUUGGGCAUAGGGGCGAAAGACUAAUCGAACUAUCUAGUAGCUGGUUCCUGCGAGUCU